rnacentral:rRNA from 1 species
GACGAACGCUGGCGGCGUGCUUAACACAUGCAAGUCGAACGGUGAAGGGGCCUGCUUUUGUGGGCCCUGGAUGAGUGGCGAACGGGUGAGUAACACGUGAGUAACCUGCCCCCUUCUUCUGGAUAACCGCAUGAAAGUGUGGCUAAUACGGGAUAUUCUGGGUCUGUCGCAUGAUGGGUCUGGGAAAGAUUGCGCCUUUGGGUGUUUUUGGUGGGGGAUGGGCUCGCGGCCUAUCAGCUUGUUGGUGGGGUGAUGGCCUACCAAGGCGGUGACGGGUAGCCGGCCUGAGAGGGUGGACGGUCACACUGGGACUGAGACACGGCCCAGACUCCUACGGGAGGCAGCAGUGGGGAAUAUUGCACAAUGGGCGCAAGCCUGAUGCAGCGACGCCGCGUGAGGGAUGGAGGCCUUCGGGUUGUAAACCUCUUUCGCCAGUGAAGCAGGCCUGCUCCUUGUGGGUGGGUUGACGGUAGCUGGAUAAGAAGCGCCGGCUAACUACGUG